rnacentral:rRNA from 1 species
UACGAGGGGGGCGAGCGUUGUUCGGAAUUAUUGGGCGUAAAGGGUGCGUAGGCGGUUCCGCAAGUCCUGUGUGAAAUCUUCGGGCUCAACUCGAAGUCUGCACGGGAAACUGCGGGGCUUGAGUGUGGGAGAGGUGAGUGGAAUUCCCGGUGUAGCGGUGAAAUGCGUAGAUAUCGGAAGGAACACCUGUGGCGAAAGCGGCUCACUGGACCAUAACUGACGCUGAUGCACGAAAGCUAGGGGAGCAAACAGG